UAGUCCACGCCGUAAACGAUGGCCACUAGCUGUUCGAACUUCGGUUUGAGUGGCUAAGCGAAAGUGAUAAGUGACCCACCUGGGGAGUACGUUCGCAAGAAUGAAACUCAAAGGAAUUGACGGGGGCCCGCACAAGCGGUGGAUUAUGUGGUUUAAUUCGAAGCAACGCGCAGAACCUUACCCAGGCUAGACAAACAGAGAAUCAUGUAGAAAUACGAGAGUGCCCUUCGGGGAAUUCUGGUCCAGGUGCUGCAUGGCUGUCGUCAGCUCGUGUCGUGAGAUGUUGGGUUAAGUCCCGCAACGAGCGCAACCCUUGCCCUUAGUUACCAUCAGUUCGGCUGGAACUCUAAGGGGACUGCCGGGGUCAACCCGGAGGAAGGUGGGGAUGACGUCAAGUCCUCAUGGCCCUUAUGUCUGGGGCUACACACGUGCUACAAUGGUCGGUACAGAGCGCAGCGAAAUCGCGAGAUGGAGCAAAUCGCAAAAAGCCGGCCUCAGUACGGAUUGC
rnacentral:rRNA from 1 species